rnacentral:rRNA from 1 species
AUUGAACGCUGGCGGAAUGCUUUACACAUGCAAGUCGAACGGCAGCACGGACUUCGGUCUGGUGGCGAGUGGCGAACGGGUGAGUAAUGUAUCGGAACGUGCCCAGUCGUGGGGGAUAACGUAGUGAAAAUUACGCUAAUACCGCAUACGAUCUAUGGAUGAAAGCGGGGGAUCGCAAGACCUCGCGCGAUUGGAGCGGCCGAUAACAGAUUAGGUAGUUGGUGGGGUAAAGGCCCACCAAGCCAACGAUCUGUAGCUGGUCUGAGAGGACGACCAGCCAGACUGGAACUGAGACACGGUCCAGACUCCUACGGGAGGCAGCAGUGGGGAAUUUUGGACAAUGGGCGAAAGCCUGAUCCAGCCAUUCCGCGUGCAGGAUGAAGGCCCUCGGGUUGUAAACUGCUUUUGUACAGAACGAAAAGGUUUCUACUAAUACUAGGAGCUCAUGACGGUACUGUAAGAAUAAGCACCGGCUAACUACGUGCCAGCCGCCGCAGUAA